rnacentral:rRNA from 1 species
UACAGAGGUCUCAAGCGUUGUUCGGAUUCAUUGGGCGUAAAGGGUGCGUAGGCGGCGCGGUAAGUCGGGUGUGAAAUCUCGGAGCUUAACUCCGAAACUGCAUUCGAUACUGCCGUGCUUGAGGACUGGAGAGGAGACUGGAAUUCACGGUGUAGCAGUGAAAUGCGUAGAUAUCGUGAGGAAGACCAGUGGCGAAGGCGGGUCUCUGGACAGUUCCUGACGCUGAGGCGCGAAGGCCAGGGGAGCAAACAGG